rnacentral:rRNA from 1 species
UUCCGGUUGAUCCUGCCGGAGGUCACUGCUAUCGGAGUUCGACUAAGCCAUGCAAGUUGUGGGUAUUGAUCUUCGGAUCAAUAACCCGGCGGAAUGCUCAGUAACACGUGGAUAACCUGCCCUUAGGUUUGGGAUAACCCCGAGAAAUUGGGGACAAUAUCAAAUAAGCCAUUAAUGCUGGAAUGCAUAAUGGUUAAAAGCUCCGGCGCCUAAGGAUGGAUCUGCGGUCGAUUAGGUUGUUGUUGGAGUAAUGGCCCAACAAGCCGAUAAUCGAUACGGGUUGUGGGAGCAAGAGCCCGGAGAUGGAUUCUGAGACACGAAUCCAGGGCCUACGGGGCGCAGCAGGCGCGGAAACUUUACAAUGCACGAAAGUGCGAUAAGGGGACUUCGAGUGUCAAUGUAUUGCAUUGACUGUCCAGAUGCCUAAAAAGCAUUUGCUAGCAAGAGCCGGGUAAGACCGGUGCCAGCCGCCGCGGUAACACCGGCGGCUCAAGUGGUGAUCGCUAUUAUUGGGCCUAAAGGGUCCGUAGCCGGUGUAAUAAGUCUUUUGGGAAAUCUGGCAGCUUAACUGUCAGGCUUCUAAAGGAAACUGUUACGCUUGGGACCGGGGGAGGCUAGAGGUACUUCAGGGGUAGGAGUGAAAUCUUGUAAUCCUUGAAGGACCGCCGGUGGCGAAGGCGUCUAGCUAUAACGGGUCCGACGGUGAGGGACGAAAGCUAGGGUCACGAACCGGAUUAGAUACCCGGGUAGUCCUAGCCGUAAACGAUGUGAGCUAGGUGUCAGUCAUGGCAUGUCCGUGAUUGGUGCCGUAGGGAAGCCGUGAAGCUCACCACCUGGGAAGUACGGCCGCAAGGCUGAAACUUAAAGGAAUUGGCGGGGGAGCACAACAACGGGUGGAUGCUGCGGUUUAAUUGGAGUCAACGCCGGG